rnacentral:rRNA from 1 species
UACGGAGGUGGCAAGCGUUGCUCGGAAUCACUGGGCGUAAAGGGCGCGUAGGCGGCCUGGCAAGUGACGGGUGAAAGCCCUCGGCUCAACCGAGGAACUGCCUGUCAUACUGCCGGGCUUGAGUCCGGGAGAGGUGAGUGGAAUUCCCAGUGUAGCGGUGAAAUGCGUAGAUAUUGGGAGGAACACCAGUGGCGAAGGCGGCUCACUGGACCGGAACUGACGCUGAGGCGCGAAAGCGUGGGGAGCAAACAGG